UGUUCUAUAAAGACUAGUCACAUACCAACAUCCUAUUUCCACAUAAAAUGCUGGAUUACAUGACUCACUUUAUGCAAAUAUCUUUUAACACGUGACCCCGCAACAUUACUUUGUCCCUUUGUUUCUGAACACCUUGAGCUCGUGAACCCGCUUGACUCCUCGCAGUCCGUGUCACGAGUUUAACCAUCACACAUCUCCUCUUCGCCUCCUGUUUUACAGACUCAUCUCAUCUCUAUUUUUGGUACCCUACUAUUACAAAAGUAACGAGGGCUACAAAAGUAAAGAAACUAGUCACUGAGAAGAAAAGCACGCCCGUGCAACGAGGACAAAAUAAGAAUAAGAUAACAGCCCAGUAUAUACAUCAUCCAUCUUUCGAAACUAACUACGAGGGUGGCGCUAAUUUUCUCUUUCGAUUCAUAAUUAAAUAGAAAACAGGAUGAGCUCAGAGUUUUUUAUGUCGACCAUUACCAUUAAAACCAUUUUUUCUUCUUCCGCGAAAUCAGGGGUGGGGGUCUGGUCUAGGUCUCUACUUUUCUGAAGAGGAAUGUUGUAAUAAGAUUGCCAAGGUCUUCAUGUCUUUUGUCCUUUCUGCUAUUGAUUCUGAAUAGUUUAGUUGUGUUUUGUGGCUAGGUUUCUAUUUCGACAUCACCCCCGCGUGAGAACAGUGAAGAUAUAUAUUUUCGAGCUCAAGUACUUCCUUAUUUCAGCUUUUAAUCAACUACAAAGGCGAUAUGGGCGCGACAAAAAAAAA